UUACCGAAGCUGUGGAUUGUCCUUUGGACAAUGGUAGGAGAGCGUUCUAAGGGCGUUGAAGCAUGAUCGUAAGGACAUGUGGAGCGCUUAGAAGUGAGAAUGCCGGUGUGAGUAGCGAAAGACGGGUGAGAAUCCCGUCCACCGAUUGACUAAGGUUUCCAGAGGAAGGCUCGUCCGCUCUGGGUUAGUCGGGUCCUAAGCUGAGGCCGACAGGCGUAGGCGAUGGAUAACAGGUUGAUAUUCCUGUACCACCUAUAAUCGUUUUAAUCGAUGGGGGGACGCAGUAGGAUAGGCGAAGCGUGCGAUUGGAUUGCACGUCUAAGCAGUAAGGCUGAGUAUUAGGCAAAUCCGGUACUCGUUAAGGCUGAGCUGUGAUGGGGAGAAGACAUUGAGUCUUCGAGUCGUUGAUUUCACACUGCCGAGAAAAGCCUCUAGAUAGAAAAUAGGUGCCCGUACCGCAAACCGACACAGGUAGUCAAGAUGAGAAUUCUAAGGUGAGCGAGCGAACUCUCGUUAAGGAACUCGGCAAAAUGACCCCGUAACUUCGGGAGAAGGGGUGCUCUUUAGGGUUAACGCCCAGAAGAGCCGCAGUGAAUAGGCCCAAGCGACUGUUUAUCAAAAACACAGGUCUCUGCUAAACCGUAAGGUGAUGUAUAGGGGCUGACGCCUGCCCGGUGCUGGAAGGUUAAGAGGAGUGGUUAGCUUCUGCGAAGCUACGAAUCGAAGCCCCAGUAAACGGCGGCCGUAACUAUAACGGUCCUAAGGUAGCGAAAUUCCUUGUCGGGUAAGUUCCGACCCGCACGAAAGGCGUAACGAUUUGGGCACUGUCUCAACGAGAGACUCGGUGAAAUCAUAGUACCUGUGAAGAUGCAGGUUACCCGCGACAGGACGGAAAGACCCCGUGGAGCUUUACUGUAGCCUGAUAUUGAAAUUCGGCACAGCUUGUACAGGAUAGGUAGGAGCCUUUGAAACGUGAGCGCUAGCUUACGUGGAGGCGCUGGUGGGAUACUACCCUAGCUGUGUUGGCUUUCUAACCCGCACCACUUAUCGUGGUGGGAGACAGUGUCAGGCGGGCAGUUUGACUGGGGCGGUCGCCUCCUAAAAGGUAACGGAGGCGCUCAAAGGUUCCCUCAGAAUGGUUGGAAAUCAUUCAUAGAGUGUAAAGGCAUAAGGGAGCUUGACUGCGAGACCUACAAGUCGAGCAGGGUCGAAAGACGGACUUAGUGAUCCGGUGGUUCCGCAUGGAAGGGCCAUCGCUCAACGGAUAAAAGCUACCCCGGGGAUAACAGGCUUAUCUCCCCCAAGAGUUCACAUCGACGGGGAGGUUUGGCACCUCGAUGUCGGCUCAUCGCAUCCUGGGGCUGUAGUCGGUCCCAAGGGUUGGGCUGUUCGCCCAUUAAAGCGGUACGCGAGCUGGGUUCAGAACGUCGUGAGACAGUUCGGUCCCUAUCCGUCGUGGGCGUAGGAAAUUUGAGAGGAGCUGUCCUUAGUACGAGAGGACCGGGAUGGACAUACCUCUGGUGUACCAGUUGUCGUGCCAACGGCAUAGCUGGGUAGCUAUGUGUGGACGGGAUAAGUGCUGAAAGCAUCUAAGCAUGAAGCCCCCCUCAAGAUGAGAUUUCCCAACUUCGGUUAUAAGAUCCCUCAAAGAUGAUGAGGUUAAUAGGUUCGAGGUGGAAGCAUGGUGACAUGUGGAGCUGACGAAUACUAAUCGAUCGAAGAC
rnacentral:rRNA from 1 species